rnacentral:rRNA from 1 species
CCUACGGGGGGCAGCAGUCGAGAAUCAUUCACAAUGGGGGAAACCCUGAUGGUGCGACGCCGCGUGGGGGAAUGAAGGUCUUCGGAUUGUAAACCCCUGUCAUGUGGGAGCAAAUUAAAAAGAUAGUACCACAAGAGGAAGAGACGGCUAACUCUGUGCCAGCAGCCGCGGUAAUACAGAGGUCUCAAGCGUUGUUCGGAAUCACUGGGCGUAAGGCGUGCGUAGGCUGUUUAGUAAGUCGUGUGUGAAAGGCGCGGGCUCAACCCGCGGACGGCACAUGAUACUGCGAGACUAGAGUAAUGGAGGGGGAACCGGAAUUCUCGGUGUAGCAGUGAAAUGCGUAGAUAUCGAGAGGAACACUCGUGGCGAAGGCGGGUUCCUGGACAUUAACUGACGCUGAGGCACGAAGGCCAGGGGAGCGAAAGGGAUUAGAUACCCUUGUAGUC